AGAUAGCUGAAGGAUAGAGAAGGACCACAGCCAUCUCUGGACUGCUCAAGUUGGACCAGGAUGGCUAGGAAGAGGAUUCUGAGAAGAUACCACAGCUGGUAUAAAAAUCCCAGAAGGUUCUUACACUGCAGGCCCUUGCUGUCUCAGAGGAACAAGACCUAAGCUAGUCACCACCAUUUUAGUAGCCAGUUUGCUAUGGCAGGGCCAGGGUUCACUCUUGAGAUGUUAUGUCAUCUCUGUCCACAGCAAGUAAGAGAAGAGGAAUAAACAAAGGAAAUGGUCACUGACUGACUUCACAGAAGCCUCUGAGAAAUGAAGAAGGGCUGACUAAGGCAAAGAGGAUUUGACAGGCACAAAAAAGAAAAAGAGGAGGAGCCUCUCUGUGACCAAGGGACUGGCAGAGAUGCUUCUCUCUGAGCAGAAGGAUUGCAAAGAUGGGGCUUUCUGGACAGAAGAGCUAGCCAGACCACGCUGGGUCCAAGGACAGAACUGAUAUGGAUCACAGGACGGUGAAGCAUAAUCAGAUGAACAACUGUUGUUGGAAAGGAUAUUCUGUCAAAUACCCCUUGGUCCUCUAUACCACAUGAACCUUAAAUUUCAUAAGCCUCAGUUCUUCCCAGUGGAGACUUCCUCCUAGAGAGGUGCAGUUUGGCACAAGAAGUCUUCACUGCUGUUCCUUCCUUUGCAGUAGAGCAGCAAAAUGAAUCACACUGAGAGCUGAGUGCUUUUUAUCUGAAAUGGACCAUGGUCACUACACCAUUUCAGUCCACAGGGUCCCCUGGGGUUUACCAAAGAAAAGGCUCAGAAACAAGUGCUCUGAUCCUUUCAAACCAGAAGUGGGAUUGGUGCUAUGCCAAUCCAGUCCACAGGAUUCUGGAAAUUUUACAAAGAGAAAAGAUUGAAACAGCUUCCACACUGAAGACCUGGCUGGACUCCCGUAACAAACCGCGCCGCCUUCCCCACCACAGUAAGUCCACCAGCGCUUGGCGCUCCACUUUUCGCUCUGUUUUUGCCGCCACYUGUAACAGUUUCUCUAUCGUGGCCUGUUCCACCGCUGAUACAGCGUUCCCCAUACCGCCCGCCGCCUCACAAGGGCGCCUGACUCACCCGUCAGAUGGGAUGCGUAUACGACUUUUCCUUUUUUCUUCCCGUCUUUCUUYGGACGGCCAGGCUCRUUUUCUUCUCCYGGGGACGAGCCUGCCRGGCGGUUCCUACUCCYGUCACUCRGACUCUCUGCAAAGCUGGCUUCUCCUUUCUGGCAUCACGUCGGGGUCACCAGAUGUCGCGGUCGGCGGGAGUAGCGGGAAAGAAUCGUACGCAGUCACAGAAUGCAGAUUCAAUUCCAACUUUAUUCAGCAAUGUGCCCAUCUUAUAUAUGUUUGUGCAGUCAUGGCAUGCAGGCACGCRGCAUCUUGGCCACUUUGAUCGGUUAGCGCUACACUUUGAUCGGUUAACGGUUAGCUGCUAUGAAGCACGUGGCAUUCGCUACACUUUGAUCGGUGGCUCUUAAGGAGCAACCUUUAUAUUUCUUCAUACAGAUUGUUAUUCUGAAGCACUGCAAGAGCCCCAACAAAUGAUAAUGAAGGCAUACCAACCACAAGAAACCAAAACUGCACAGCAGAAAUCCAAAUGCACAGUGCUGUCCUGCUCACCAGGCCAAAACAAGGCACACAAAAUGAUGCGCACUGCUUUUUCCCAAGCUUUCUUCAAUGCAUGUGCUCAUUGGGCAUUUAAGAGGGAGUUUCCCAAAGGCUGCUCAGAACAUCCUCAGAUUAUCACACCUUUGCCUCCCAGCCUUUGCCAGGCUCUCUCCUUGCUCUCACAGCUGCUGUUCAGCCCAGAGCAGUUAUGACUGAAGCAAGCACAGGUAAUCAGAGCCUAGCCGUCAGUGAGCAACCAACCUGCCUCUUCAGCCCCUUGGAGACACAUCCAUGUCCUAAGAGCUAGUGUCCUCUUUUCCUUGCUUUGUCCCACCAAAAGCUUUAUCAACCACUGUGGUAGAAUGAGGUGGGAAGGAAGGGAGAGUGCAUCUCCAGCACUAGCUGCAGCAGAGAAGCUAGCAAAUCUGAGAAUUGGAAAGCCUUAUAAAACAUGAAAUGAAAACUUGUUAAUUGUGAUCUAUACCUCCACUACAAAUCUUCCAUUAGCUGAUCUGUCAACAUCAAAUUGGCUAACUCCAGGUCAGCAGUGAUCGAGGAGGACAACUUCAACAUGGCAAAGGACCACAGAAAUUCUUUCUUCUGUCCUUAUGCUGCCACUGCAGCCGAGGAGUAAAGUCCCAGAAAUGAUGUAUUUGGUCCUGAUCAUAUCCAUUGUAGCAUAAUCCUUUUCCACUAGAUGAUACUUCUUUUUUGGAGCUCAGAAAUGGCACUGUAGUGGGUAAAGCUACUCCAGCUCCCUCCUUAAGCAACUGUUCAGUCUUACU
ensembl:lncRNA